GUAUGAAUGGCCACACGAGGGCUUUACUGUCUCUUACUUCCAAUCCGUGAAAUUGAUCUGCCCGUGAAGAGGCGGGAAUAUGACAAUAAGACGAGAAGACCCUAUGGAGCUUUAAUUAACCGACCCAAAGAGAUCUUGAUAAUCAACCGACAGGGAUAACAUACCUCUACCAUGGGCCGACAAUUUAGGUUGGGGUGACCUCGGAGAAUAAAACAACCUCCGAGUGAUUUAAAUCUAGACUAACUAGUCGAAAGUACUACAUCACUUAUUGAUCCAAAAACUUGAUCAACGGAACAAGUUACCCUAGGGAUAACAGCGCAAUCCUAUUUUAGAGUCCAUAUCGACAAUAGGGUUUACGACCUCGAUGUUGGA
rnacentral:rRNA from 1 species